CACUGCAUUUGCGGGAAAAAUAAUAAUUUGCUACGCUCUAUUUGAGGCUACACUUCAGCUUUUGUUGCCUGGUAAAAGGGUUGAAGGACCGAUAUCUCCAACUGGACACAGGCCUGUCUAUAAGGCAAAUGGCAUGGCAGCAUAUAUAGUGACACUAAUUACCUAUCUCAGCCUUUGGUGGUUUGGAAUAUUCAAUCCUACAAUCGUGUAUGAUCAUCUGGGAGAGAUUCUCUCUACACUAAAUUUUGGAAGCUUAAUCUUCUGUCUCUUAUUAUACAUAAAAG